rnacentral:rRNA from 1 species
GACGAACGCUGGCGGCGUGCCUAAUACAUGCAAGUUGAGCGCUGAAGGUUGGUACUUGUACCAACUGGAUGAGCAGCGAACGGGUGAGUAACGCGUGGGGAAUCUGCCUUUGAGCGGGGGACAACAUUUGGAAACGAAUGCCAAUACCGCAUAAAAACUUUAAACACAAGUUUUAAGUUUGAAAGAUGCAAUUGCAUCACUCAAAGAUGAUCCCGCGUUGUAUUAGCUAGUUGGUGAGGUAAAGGCUCACCAAGGCGAUGAUACAUAGCCGACCUGAGAGGGUGAUCGGCCACAUUGGGACUGAGACACGGCCCAAACUCCUACGGGAGGCAGCAGUAGGGAAUCUUCGGCAAUGGACGAAAGUCUGACCGAGCAACGCCGCGUGAGUGAAGAAGGUUUUCGGAUCGUAAAACUCUGUUGGUAGAGAAGAACGUUGGUGAGAGUGGAAAGCUCAUCAAGUGACGGUAACUACCCAGAAAGGGACGGCUAACUACGU